rnacentral:lncRNA from 1 species
UGGUGAUUAUUCAAAAUUUUAUUUUUGAGUUAUUGAGUAUUUUGUAAAACAGGGGAGGUUUUUUUACAUGUCGCGCCGUAUCUCAAAAAUAAGUUAUGAUUAUUGCUUAAAACUUUACACACUUCUUUAUUAUAUUAAUCUAAAGAUCUGUAUACUUUUUGGUUUUGAUUCAAAAUUUUAUUUUGGUAAUAUUUAGUUUUUUGUAAAAAAAAAACAGGGUGGGGGGUUUCACAUGUCCCGCUGACACAUGUCUCUAAACAAUAUAUGGUUAUUGCUUAAAACUUUCUCAGAAACUAUUUAUGAUUAUUGCAUAAGACUUCCACAUAAGACGUCGGGCAUAUCGUGCGCUCAUGGCGCAGCUGUUUAUUAUUAAAACUUUUCUUACAAGCCUAAAAAAAAUUGUACUCUGUAGAACAUUUUAAUUCAUGGUGUGCCUUAAGGUGGUACCCAACACUUUCUCUAAAAUUAAUUUGCCUAGUUUAAUUUUCAUAAAAUUUUGUCAAAGUAUUUACUUUGAGACUUAAAUAAAAAUAUAAAAAUUUACAAAUUUUUGAACCAACCGUUAUGUCAGAAAAAUUACACUGGUUAUAUAGCAUUU